ACAACAUUUUAAUACCAUCAUGAAAAUAUAUUUUAUAAAAGACAACAAAUAAAAUGAGUGGAAGUGUAAUUUUUCAAACAAAUAACCCACUUAAUAAAUAUCUGUAAACACAAGGUGGCAGUUCUGUUUAACGGACUUUUCACUGAACUUUGUUUAUUCUGUCUGCAGUUCAAGUACUUCUGUUUCUGAUAUGUGGCAUGAACACAAACUAUAAUUUUACCAACAUAGGCCUACUUCUUCAUGCUAUUAAACUAGUGAACUUAUAAUUCCAUCACUUACCUUUGAGUGAAUAUCAGAUUUGAUCGUUAAUUUCAGAGUUUCUGAAGAGAAAUGUUGUUUUUAAGAAGCUUCCAGUUCACCUGUUAAGUUUCACUUUCUCUGAAGUCUUUACACACGUGCAGCGAUGUCAUAUAGCUCCGCCCAUAAUCAAAAUAUGAAUCAGUUCCUAAUUCAUCUCUGCUGAGUGCGUAACAGUGUAAUAUAUAGACAGACUAUAUGUGUAGUUUUGUUUAGUUCCUUAAUGCCCACUGUACGACGAGUGCACACGUCACGAUCCUGAAGCGCGAAUCUCAGACAUUUAAAUUUCAACGGUUAUUUUGGCGGUCCGUCUGAGGAGAUUCUGCCGAUUUAUCAAACUAAAAUAUUAUUUUAUUUCGUUCUGCUUUCAUAAAUUGAUUCGAUUGAUUCGAAUUCAAACUUCUAACUCAGUUGGAGGUAAAGCUGAUGGAGAGAGACCACGUUCCAGAACCCGCUGUCACAAGUGAUGAAGAACGUUUUGUUCCGGAUGGGAUUGGGAAUGCAGAGCGUCAGAAAGAUCGCAUAUGGUGAUGUGGAGAAGCUUGCGACGGUUACACUGAUGGAGAAGUUUGUUCCCACCGUCUCCGGCUCUCAGAAGCUCCUGGCAUCGAUGGACUGCCUUCAGCUCACUCAGGUUCACGGAUUCACCGAUAUUGUGCUCAAACCAAAGUGAAAAACUUUCUAAGCUUUCGAAGCUUUCUAAUGCUCUCGCUUCUCUUGAAGAAUAUUUACUAGAUUGAAGGGUCAAAAUCACUAAAUAAUAAUUCCGUAUUUUUAUUCACAACUGAUGUAUGUCAACAAUAAAGAUCCUUCAUGUUUUUUUCAUAUCUGUCUGUCUGUUGUAAUAUUUAUGUGUGUAGAUGUACAUGAACUUAAAUCGUUCUCCAUUUACAUAUUUAUUUACAAGAAAUUUAGUGUACAAGUAAUGUCAGUUACAGAACUGAACACUUGUCUUUAUUCAGAUGCUGCAGUUAUUCCAAUAUGAACCGAGAAUUGCAGCAUUUGCAGUAAUUUCAAGUUAACAGCUGGAGAGAGAGAGAGAGAGAGAGAGAGAGAGAGAGACAUAAUGGACAAUGGAAAUUACCUUAACAGGUGUAGAAGUUUAGAAUAUUAUGCAGAAUUUCACCAUUUCAUAUUAAAUCAUAUUAUGUAAAAAAAAAAAAAAAAAAAACAGAAGAUUUGAAAAGGUGAUUGAGAAGAAAGAGAUGAAAUACAACUGUAGCAGAUGACUACUAUUAUAUUCUGUUGUGUGGAACUGAGUAAGAACUGAUGACCGCACGGCUUGAUCUUUGGUUGACCAGUCAGCGCAAAGGGGCUUUUUAUUCCUGCCUAUGUACAGAUCGAUUAUUCAAGUUUGCCCAUUUUGGUUUUAUUGUUUUUCCAUUUGGUGAAUUAGAACAAAGUGCGAUUAAAAACAAAAAUAAGGCCCCGUCCACACGAAGCCGGAGCUUACCCCAAUCCGAUCUUUUUUUUCCCUCGUUCUAAAAAAAAAAAAUCCCGUCCACACGGCGCCGUAUCAAGAAAUAUCUGCCAGACCAUUAUGUGGCGUUGUAAUUCUGUCAUAGAAAUUCACUUAAAGCAGC